ensembl:snoRNA
UGAACCAGGGAUGAUGACUGGUGGAGUAUGAGUCUUGGAUGAUGAAUACUACAUGUCUGGAACUCUGAGGUCCAA